ACUACUCCUCCUCAAAUUUUCCUUUAUCUCACGACACCCAUUCAAUUCACCUUACUUAAAGUUUUCUUCUUUCUAAUUUGAAUCCAUUAAUAUCUUUUUUUUUCAUAUUAUUUUAGUCUUGCUGCAUUCUCUAUUCUUGCUACAAUUUGGACCUUUUGUUAUAUGGGUUUCAGGUUUAGGAGAUUUUCCUUCGCAGAUGUUUGCUCCUAUUGUUUUGUGUUCUACUUUUGAUUAGUGCGGCAGGCUGCAGCAUGAGGAAAUGACCAUUAUUGCAACUUGCUCCAAUACAUUCGCAUCAAUGGGGUUAAUUCAAGCUCACCUUUUGUCAUUCUGUUGCAUCAGAAAAGGGUGAUAAUGUGAUAUCUUGUCUCCAAUUUGACAUGAAAUAGGGAGAGCAUGUGGCUAAUGUUUGUUGGCAGAGGAGAGAGAGGAAGGACAAACAAAGGAAGAAUCGGAAGUGUGAUUCCUUCGAAGAAAGGAAAAUUCAAAUAUUUAUUUCUUUUAUGUUUGCAUCUCAGAUGGUUAUAUAUUAAUUUCUUUUAUAUGUUUAAUUAAAUUUGUAGAGUUAUUUGAAUUCUCAAGUUUAUCAAUACAUGUUGUAUCAAGGUGUUUUUCA